CCUACGGGUGGCAGCAGUGAGGAAUAUUGGUCAAUGGACGGAAGUCUGAACCAGCCAUGCCGCGUGCAGGAAGACGGCUCUAUGAGUUGUAAACUGCUUUUGUACAAGGGUAAACCUGAAUACGUGUAUUCAGCUGAAAGUACUGUACGAAUAAGGAUCGGCUAACUCCGUGCCAGCAGCCGCGGUAAUACGGAGGAUCCAAGCGUUAUCCGGAUUUAUUGGGUUUAAAGGGUGCGGAGGCGGAUUGAUAAGUUAGAGGUGAAAUGUCCGAGCUUAACUCGGGAACUGCCUCUAAUACUGUUGGUCUAGAGAGUAGGUGAGGUAGGCGGAAUGUAUGGUGUAGCGGUGAAAUGCUUAGAGAUCAUACAGAACACCGAUUGCGAAGGCAGCUUACCAAUCUAUAUCUGACGUUGAGGCACGAAAGCGUGGGGAGCAAACAGGAUUAGAUACCCCUGUAGUC
rnacentral:rRNA from 1 species